GGCUCGUUGGUCUAGGGGUAUGAUUCUCGCUUAGGGUGCGAGAGAGGUCCUGGUUCAAAUCCCGGACGAGCCC
rnacentral:tRNA from 1 species